rnacentral:rRNA from 1 species
UUGAAAGGGAAACGAUUGAAGUCAGUCGUGCUGGCAUGAAAUCAACCACUGCAUACACAAAAGUGUUGGCGGGUGAGCCUAAAAACCAUCGCGCCAACAUUUUUGCGUAUGCGGUGUGAUUUUUGUAGCUGCUAGCUAGAUCAGUUUCGACCGUCAUAAAAAGGCUGGGGGGACGUGGCUCCUUCGGAAGCGUUAUAACCCUUAGCGGAAUGUGGUGGACGUGAUUGAGGAUUGCAACGGGUGCUGCUUUACCUGGCCUCUCGCUUGCGUCUCGGUGGCGACAGCUUUGUUGAUCGUCGUUGGGAACCGCAGACGAAAAGGUUAGAGUGGGGCGAUUCGUUAAGGAUGUUGACGUA